rnacentral:rRNA from 1 species
CCUACGGGUGGCAGCAGUGAGGAAUAUUGGUCAAUGGACGCAAGUCUGAACCAGCCAUGCCGCGUGGAGGAUGAAGGUUUUCGGAUUGUAAACUCCUUUUGUUAGAGAAGAUAAUGACGGUAUCUAACGAAUAAGCACCGGCUAACUCCGUGCCAGCAGCCGCGGUAAUACGGAGGAUGCGAGCGUUAUCCGGAUUUAUUGGGUUUAAAGGGUGCGUAGGCGGACGCUUAAGUCAGCGGUAAAAUUGCGGGGCUCAACCUCGUCGAGCCGUUGAAACUGGGUGCCUUGAGUGGGCGAGAAGUACGCGGAAUGCGUGGUGUAGCGGUGAAAUGCAUAGAUAUCACGCAGAACUCCGAUUGCGAAGGCAGCGUACCGGCGCCCAACUGACGCUGAAGCACGAAGGCGUGGGUAUCGAACAGGAUUAGAUACCCGAGUAGUC